rnacentral:snRNA from 1 species
CGAGAGCUCCAAGUGGGCCA